rnacentral:rRNA from 1 species
GGGGGGAGCAAGCGUUGUUCGGAUUUACUGGGCGUAAAGGGCGCGUAGGCGGCCACCGCAAGUCGGUUGUGAAAUCUCCGGGCUUAACCCGGAAAGGUCAAUCGAUACUGCGGGGCUAGAGUGCAGAAGGGGCAACUGGAAUUCUCGGUGUAGCGGUGAAAUGCGUAGAUAUCGAGAGGAACACCUGCGGCGAAGGCGGGUUGCUGGGCUGACACUGACGCUGAAGCGCGAAAGCUAGGGGAGCGAACGGGAUUAGAUACCCCGGUAGUCCUAGCCUUAAACGAUGAAUGCUUGGUGUCUGGGGUUUUAUAGUCCCCGGGUGCCGUCGCUAACGCUUUAAGCAUUCCGCCUGGGGAGUACGGUCGCAAGACUG